rnacentral:rRNA from 1 species
AUACGGAAGGUCCGGGCGUUAUCCGGAUUUAUUGGGUUUAAAGGGAGCGCAGGCGGAGAUGCAAGCGUGACGUCAAAUUUCGGGGCUCAACCCCGUCUCGCGUCGCGAACUGCGUCCCUUGGUUGCGGGAAGGGGAGGCGGAACUCGUGGUGUAGCGGUGAAAUGCAUAGAUAUCACGAAGAACUCCGAUCGCGAAGGCAGCCUUCCGGCCCGUCAACGACGCUCAUGCUCGAAGGUGCGGGUAUCAAACAGGAUUAGAUACCCUGGUAGUCCGCACAGUAAACGAUGGACACCCGCGGUUUGGCCUGUAUGGCUGAGCCGCCAAGCGAAAGCGUUAAGUGUCCCACCUGGGGAGUACGCCGGCAACGGUGGAACUCAAAUGAAUUGACGGGG